rnacentral:rRNA from 1 species
GAUGAACGCUAGCUACAGGCUUAACACAUGCAAGUCGCGGGGCAGCAUGGGGGUUGCUUGCCACCCCUGAUGGCGACCGGCGCACGGGUGAGUAACGCGUAUCCAACCUGCCCUUCACCACGGGAUAACCCGGCGAAAGUCGGACUAAUACCGUAUGUUGUCCAUUGACGGCAUCCGAUUUGGACGAAAGGCUUGGCGGUGAAGGGAUGGGGAUGCGUCCGAUUAGCUUGACGGCGGGGUAACGGCCCACCGUGGCUACGAUCGGUAGGGGUUCUGAGAGGAAGGUCCCCCACACUGGAACUGAGACACGGUCCAGACUCCUACGGGAGGCAGCAGUGAGGAAUAUUGGUCAAUGGGCGUAAGCCUGAACCAGCCAAGUAGCGUGCAGGAUGACGGCCCUAUGGGUUGUAAACUGCUUUUAUGCGGGGAUAAAGUGGCCCACGUGUGGGCUUUUGCAGGUACCGCAUGAAUAAGGACCGGCUAAUUCCGUG